AGCAGUCGCCGCGGGAAUACAGAGGGUGCGAGCGUUAAUCGGAUUUACUGGGCGUAAAGCGUGCGUAGGCGGCUUUUUAAGUCGGAUGUGAAAUCCCUGAGCUUAACUUAGGAAUUGCAUUCGAUACUGGGAAGCUAGAGUAUGGGAGAGGAUGGUAGAAUUCCAGGUGUAGCGGUGAAAUGCGUAGAGAUCUGGAGGAAUACCGAUGGCGAAGGCAGCCAUCUGGCCUAAUACUGACGCUGAGGUACGAAAGCAUGGGGAGCAAACAGGAUUAGAGACCCCCGUAGUCCUGUCUCUUAUACA
rnacentral:rRNA from 1 species